rnacentral:misc_RNA from 1 species
AUUACCGAGUGAGGGCCCUCUGGGUCCAACCUCCCACCCGUGUUUAACGAACCUUGUUGCUUCGGCGGGCCCGCCUCACGGCCGCCGGGGGGCAUCCGCCCCCGGGCCCGCGCCCGCCGAAGACACCUGUGAACACUGUCUGAAGUUGCAGUCUGAGAAACUAGCUAAAUUAGUUAAAACUUUCAACAACGGAUCUCUUGGUUCCGGCAUCGAUGAAGAACGCAGCGAAAUGCGAUAAAUAAUGUGAAUUGCAGAAUUCAGUGAAUCAUCGAGUCUUUGAACGCACAUUGCGCCCUCUGGUAUUCCGGAGGGCAUGCCUGUCCGAGCGUCAUUGCUGCCCUCAAGCACGGCUUGUGUGUUGGGCCCCCGUCCCCCCGCCAGGGGGGACGGGCCCGAAAGGCAGCGGCGGCACCGCGUCCGGUCCUCGAGCGUAUGGGGCUCUGUCACCCGCUCUUGUAGGCCCGGCCGGCGCCAGCCGACCCCCCUCAAUCUAUUUUUUCAGGUUGACCUCGGAUCAGGUAGGGAUACCCGCUGAACUUAAGCAUAUCAAUAA